CCAUACUUCUUGCUCCGGCAGCACUGUAGAGGGAAUCAAUGGGAGCAUUGCUUGAGCAAGGCGUGCAGGAUCAGACUCACUGAGUGUCAGGCUUGAGAGCCCUGAAAUACCUAGGCAAACAGGAUGGAUCUCUGAAGUCAUUCCAUACAUACUGAGUCAUUCAGAUUGUGUCCUCUACCUCUCCACCAAAGUGAUCUGCCACAUCUUUCAACCUUGAGCAAGUCACUCAUCAGUUUCCCCAGCUGAAAAAAAAAAUGGAGAUAAAUCUUUGCUGCUUCACUGGGUGUUUUGUGAGGCAUAAUUCAUUAAGGGGGCAGUGAUGAGUUCAUCUGACUCUCUCCCAUCAAGACUGAAAAUUCUUUUCAAUUAAAAACUCAUCUCCACAGAUGGUACUGGCAUUAAGAGCACCCCAUCUUGUCUACAACAACAAAUAUUGAGAUAUUUCAGGAAUUACCCUAUAAAUCACUGGACAUGGAAUGGUCUGCGGGAUUUCAAAUAAAAAAAAAAAA